rnacentral:rRNA from 1 species
AUUGAACGCUGGCGGAAUGCUUUACACAUGCAAGUCGAGCGGCAGCGCGGGGCAACCUGGCGGCGAGCGGCGAACGGGUGAGUAAUACAUCGGAACGUGCCCAGACGUGGGGGAUAACUACUCGAAAGAGUGGCUAAUACCGCAUACGAUCUACGGAUGAAAGCGGGGGAGUCGCAAGACCUCGCGCGUCUGGAGCGGCUGAUGGCAGAUUAGGUAGUUGGUGGGAUAAAAGCCUACCAAGCCAACGAUCUGUAGCUGGUCUGAGAGGAUGAUCAGCCACACUGGGACUGAGACACGGCCCAGACUCCUACGGGAGGCAGCAGUGGGGGAAUUUUGGACAAUGGGCGAAAGACCUGAUCCAGCCAUUCCGCGUGCAGGAUGAAGGCCCU